UAGGCGUGACUUAACAUGAGCUCUCCGAAAGUAAGAGGGGACCUUUUUCUAUAUAAAGUUUUGUCAGUCUCCACUGGGACGUUGUAUAGUUUGGAGCUCUGUAACGAGUCAAGACAAAUUGGAUAUUAUACUUUCGAUCGUGUUACUCGAUAAGAAGAAAAGUGACGUUAUCGUAAUUAUAAACGUUCUUAACAAGUUUUUCCCAAUCCGCGAAACUCGUUUGUUUAUGUGAGCUGUUGAUAAAGCAUAAAUAAAAAAUUCGUUGAAAAAGAACGUACGGACAAAGAUAAGAAGUAAAAGUAUAAUAAAAAAAGUGAGGAUACAGCCUGUGCAUGUACGCCGAAAAAAUGAUGCACGCAAUGAGCGAGCAUGCGGGUGGCGCGGCCGGUCUCGGCGUUGGUGUUCUACCCUUUGAUGCAAUGGCACUUUAUGAGCAACCACGACCUCGUUAUGCGUUAAAAAUGCCACGCGUUGUGCCUGAUCAGAAGGCCAAGUUUGAAAGCGACGAGCUCUUCAGAAGACUCAGCCGUGAGAGCGAGGUAAGAUACACCGGGUAUCGUGAUAGGCCGAUGGAAGAACGUCAAGUGCGCUUUCAAAAUAGUUGCCGUGAAGGCCAAGUAGAGAUAGCGUUCGCAGCGACCGGUACAAAUCUACAACUGGUCUUUGGUAACGCUUGUGGGACUUAUCCUCCUGAUCGAAGAGAGGAUUGUGAUUUUGACAAAGAACACGGCAAGAUCAUUGAUAUCAUGAACAAUCACUAUAAACGGUUUUUCUACGGACGCCCUGGGAACAGGAUUGAAAAGAAAAGGGUUUUAGUUAAACUCUUUCAAAGUUCUUGCAAAGUUUUUCAAAGGAUGUCCUAUUUUAAUGGUUCCGCACGAAUACUGUUAUAUCCAUGCAAUUUGCUAAUGAGCAUGAAACUUUUUAAAGAAGACGCUAGCGUGAAAUUGUAUCUCAUGAAAGAGGGGAAACAAGAACGGGUACGUCGUCGCUAAAGUCGGGGGUGAUUUUGACGAGAGGGUGCAUCACCUGGUAGAACCAUCUAUCACACGAUACGAAAAGGAAGAGGGGACUCCAAAGAAAGUGAGAAACAGAAAGAACAUGGACACACGGACACAUGCGCACAAAGACGUCUACUAAGCGAGGGAGGAACAAACGAAAGGGACGUAUCCACAAUUUGUCCUCGUCACGUUUAACGUGGCUGCCUUCGGGAAAAGGGCUAAAAGGGGUUGGAGCUGAACGAUAGAACCCUGGCGUUCGCAGUUAUAACCUUGUUACAUCCACUGUAUAUUGCAGCACACACCUAUCUUACACUCUCACAGCCUGUCCAUUAACUUCUCGUCGUAGGAUAUUAACAUUUUGUACAUCACUGAAAGAGAGAGAGAGAGAGAGAGAGAGAGAGAAAGAAUAUAAAGAGAGUAAGAGGAAAGGAUAUGCAUGAUCGUAAAACGCAGCCGGUGUUGGAUGCUCGCCUACAUGUAAGUUCAGACAAAUUUUUUACAGUCAAACCUUAUGUGGAAUCCUUUGAUUUGAAUAUUAUUACACAAUAAUGACGGUUUAGUAAUUUAUUUGCCAAUUUGUUUUACAUUUUAUCCUAUAUAAGAAAUUUGUUAUCAAUCUAGGGAAUGUGAUUUAUUACAUUAAUAAUAAUUUUUUUUUAUUAUUUUAUUCUUUUUUAUAAAAAGUUACAGGAAUAAAAUAAACGUAAACAUAGGAAAAUCUAAGGAUAUCUGAACUAUAUUGUUUUACGGAGAAUAAUUUAGUUAUAUACUUUUAUUAUAUCAAGUUGAUAAAAAAUAUCUAUCGACUACCGCCCAGUUAUAAGGUAUAAAAAAAUUAUAAAAUAAGCCUGAAGUAUAAAUAAAAUAUAAAUUUUUACAAAACGAAUUUUUUUAAAUAAAAAGAAAAUUACAGACAUCUACAUGAUUCUUCGAAUCGCUUAAUUACUUUUUUUACUUUAAUUACUAAUUUUUACUUCGCUUAAUUAUUAAUUAAGUCACACAUUUUUUCGAUAGAAUUCACGAGUGUCGUCUUUAACACCUAUGUAAAAAUUAGUAGACCCAAGAAUUUGAUAUGUAUUCAAGAGAAAUGCGAAACUCAAUGUGACGUGAUAAGUCUCGACAGGCAAUUAAGCCUGUCGCUGUAAUUCCCUAAUUCUCAUAAUAAUCAAACCGAUGCUGCCAUUGUUCUUGUACGGGCUAUUGUCUUAGCCGCACUUCGUACUUUUGUGCCACCCAUGCAAUAUGCCUCUUUGUUCUCUAUAAUCAGCCGUUACACGUCUUUCAGUUCAAGUUUGCAUUAAACCGCUUAAAUGGCAGGGUGGUCUGGAUCUUUUUCCUAUUAAAAGAUCGGGAUAAAAUUAAUUUUUAAUGGUAUCUGGCAACUUAUAAAAAAUAAAAUAUCAAACUGGUCCGAUUAAAAUAUUCAUCAUUGAUCAAAAAAAUAUUGACUAAUUAGUAAUAACAAAUAACAUCAAUUAAAGGAUUCUCCAAAGGUUUUCACGAACAUGUGUUUCUUACCAAAAAUAGAAAACCAUUUUAUACUGAUUUGUCACAUCAUGUUUGGAAAAUAACUGCCCCUUAAGAGCUCGCAUCGGUGGUCCUCGACAUUUCCUGGAGAGGAUCUCGAAGGAUCGAGGAUGCAGAUGUUUAUUUUGACGCAAUGGACUAAGCUCACGACUUUUCGAGAGGAUACUCAAAGCUAUUGAGAAACUUUCGUUCUGCAUUCCGACAAUUUUACCGGAUUGACUCGCACGUUCUCAGCCAGACAAUGAGCAUCCUUCGGUAAUAUGUGCAAUCCUCACGAUAUAAGAGCAACAGUAUCGGCAGCAAUAGCAAAAUAAAGUAAAAAGAAGUAACGAAAGAAAGGAAAGCUUCCUUCUCGAGGAGUUUCGAUUACACGGUUACUUUGGUCUCGUCAAUAGAAAACGGGCAUACAGAAAGAAAACAGGAGACGAGAUCACGUCUCUUAUGGUGAUCGCGCGUUCUUCAGAAACACUGCAAGAAAAGAAAAAGAAGAAGAGCAUGGAGUAUACCGUGCGUGCAAAACCGCACAAAGGAAAUUUCGCGGAGUGAACUACAACGACUACUCGAGAGCCCCACCUUCUCAUUCUUUCUUCUUCGUCCUUUUUUUUGUCUUUUCUUUUUCACGUUUUUUCUGGCUGGUACCGCAACACGAAUUUAUUCUGCCGUAGCCUCCCUCAUUUCGGACUUCAAAGAAAAGGGUAAUGUAAAUCUCUAUAAACAAUUUUAAAAGGAAAUAUUUAUGCUUUUGAUUUGUAGAUAUUCGUAAAUAUUUAAAAUGUUUUAAAAUUUAUUUCAAGUAAACUUUUAUUUCAGGAAUCACGUACAGAAUCUAUUUUUAUUGUAUUUGUAUAUUUCAUUCUAUAUCGUACUACUACUUUUUUCAAUUAUUAUUGGUACAAUUUUUAAUUGUGAUAUUUAACGAUGAAUAGUAACAAGUUUUCUUAAUGAUUAGCAAUUCUCUUUUGAUAGUCGUUCAACUUCUCGAAAAAACCACACAACUUUUUCCCCUUCCCGAUAUCGAUUCAAGACGGCGUAUAAUUCGAUAUCGAUAACGUAAUCCUAUACGAAAAUGGCACACGCAGCAACUCGUUUUGCAAUAUCGCUGGAUCGACCACAUGCAACGUCACUCAAGGAUCUUUUCUACGGUCAUGUUGUAACGGUUUACCUUGUACAUUCGUCAUCAUCGAUAUUCGCGACGGACCUACCGAUGCAUAGUGAUCGUCGAUGCGGACGAAUCGUGUCACGGAAGAUUAUUUCGAAGCUGCACUUCAUCCAGAAAUAAAUCAAACAAGAAUGUUCUAACUGAAGUUAAGAAUAAUAAUCAAUACGAGGUCAAGUAAACCAAGCUGUAUCUUGUUUAAAUAUCACUUUCACCUUUUCUUUUUCUCUGAAUAAAACUGUUGUUCUUAAAAUUAAAUAUGAUCGUCGAAUUAAAUAUAUUUUGACAAACUAGGAAGGACCGUCGCACUCUCUCUCUCUCUCUCUUUCUCUCUCUCUCUUUCUCUCUCUCUCUCUCUCUCUCUCUCUCUCUCUCUUUCCUAGAGAUGUACUUUAUCUCUUGUCCUUGAAAGAAGUCGAUAGCACGUGCUAGUUUAUACCCGCUUGCCAGCUGCAAAUGUCGUGACAAGAUCCGGCAAAAUCGAGCAAAUGCAUGGAAUCGGAGAACGCGAGACCCAUCUGGCGCGUGCGUGACCUCCUUUAAUUAUCUUAAUUCUUUGCACUCAACUGUUCCAAAGAUUGCUUCGAGCAUCGUUCAACUAUGGGAAUUCAAAAAUAAUUUCAACGUCCUCUCGAAACUUCGUUUCAUUCAUCUUUGUCAUAAAUAUUCUUUAUUUCUAUUCGACGGGGAAUACUAUCGAUUUACUAUGGAGGUCCUCAGCCCUUUUUUUCUUUUCUUUUUCUUCUCCUUCUUUCAACACUCCCUAUCAAGCCUGUCUACCGACCCCAUUUCUAGGGGUUGGUAGAAACGCGCACACUCUCUGCGAUCGGAGGGAGAAUUCGCUUUGCCCGGCUGUCUAGAAAAUCCUCCCUUCCGUUAGCCAAUCGGCAUACGAGCACGCCCCAUGACGUCAUACACGUCCCUUCAGCCUAUAAUUAGCCAAUCCGAUCGCGAGUUAUCCUGCGCAGCCCUUGGCUGAUUAUAUUUACAAGCCAAUGAUUUUUGCACUACUCGGAAACACCUACAAGAACGUUCGGAUUUCAGAGGGGUUAGAAGAGAACAAGCACAAUGGUCUUCCCCUUCUUUUUACAAUUUCAGAUUCCGUACCAUGUCUCUCUCUCUCUCUCUCUCUCUCUCUCUCUCUCUCUCUCUCUGUCUCUCUCUCUCUCUCUAUUUUCCUCUUUUUGUAUUGAUGUUCUCGCAAGUAUAAGCAUUUUUUUUGACAUUCCAUCAUCCCUCUCUGUCAAGUACCAACAGCAGGAAAAGGAAAAAAGAAAAAAACAAGAAGAAAGAUACUCCUCUCUUUUUAUAUUAAUAUACAAAUAUUAGAUAUAUAUUUAGAUAAUAACAUAAGUUACGAUUCAACAUAUUUUUGUUUUUCCAUCAUCUACAAAUAAGAUAAAUUGUAACAUGAUAUUUUAUAUACAAUAUAUAUCUUCAGGUAUAAAGUAAUACUAAACAUAAAAAAGAAUUUUCAAGGUGGCUUUCAAGAAGAUAAAUGAUAGCGAGAAGAGAAGAAAAAAAUUAUCGAUCUCUUUUGAAGAAAGAUCUCUCGAAGAUAGCGAUUACAUGAAGCAAAUAGGUAAGGGGAGUAGAAAACGGAAUUUUUAAAGAAGAUAGGAAAAAGAGAAGAAGGUUGGACGGCUCUCGACACAAUAUAAAAUAAGGAAGCUGGUAUGCACGUGUAUUGGUAAGUAUCGCUUUCCGAGUUUUGGGAUAAUCCGCUUAGGCUAGUCUACGGUUCCGUCAAUGCGUCGUCAUCGUGUUUAAACGUAUUGUUAACGUGUUUUGUGAGAAAACAGCAUUUUCGUCGCUCGAGGUGAUGGCAAAAAAAGGACUUAACUUAUCUUCGUCAUAACAGAUACGAAGAGGAAGAGCCGGUUCUUUUUUCACGAGGAAGGAUUCCAAAGAUCAGUCUAAUACUUCUCUCAAGUCUCAUACACCUGAUUCCUUAAUUCUUCGUUUGUUGAAAUAUUUCAAAGAGAUUCGUUCAUCACCAAAUACCGAUAUAUACCUCUGUAUAUUUUUGUUCCCGUUUUGACGGUUCGUUGACGAUGAUGAUGAUGAUAUCAUGUUUGUCCCAUUUUGCAGCGAGAGGGAGAGGGGGGAAGAGAGAGGGGGGAGGGAGAGAGAGAGAGAGGAAGAGAGAGAGAGAGAGAAACAGAGAAAAAAGGGUUACCGUAACCACCCUGAAAAGGACCCAUAUAAUCUCAUGAAUACAUAAUCCAGAUGCAAACAGCCGCCACGCGCACCUCGUUUUAAACGGUCACGAUAUUUCACGGAUUAUAAGGAUGCAACACGAAAGGAUAUUUACACUUCGCUUGCACGAUACAUGUAUUUAUAUAUAACAUUAGUAAGGAUCGAUAUUUUGCGUUAUGUUUACAAAGUAUAUAUUCUGGAAGAUCAUAAAUUGUGAGUAUUUAAAAUUUUGACAAAUACAAAGCAGAAAUGGGAUUUCAAAUUUACUAAAGCGUUCGUAUCUAAGAUAGCGUAGAUUUGAAUUACGAAAAAGAAUUCAAUCGUUGAUGCAAAUAGAGAUAAAUCUAAUCCUUCAACCUUUUUUUUUUUACUGAGCAAAGUAAACUUCGAUAAGGGUACUCUUACGAUAAAAAAGUAGGCGUUGAUCGAUGAGUAUACAGAUUGGAUCGUUCUCUCUCACGAUCAAAAAUAGAAAAAAAAAAACGGCUUUCUACUUCGUUGCAUGUAUCAGUAUUUUGCCAACAUGUGAGACACAUAAAAACGAAUUUUUUCAUUAAUAAAAGUUUCAAUCGGGAGGAUCAAGGAAACAUAGAGAAUCUCUUAAUUUCUUUGUAAAGAAAGUUAUUAUUUUUGCUGUAAUCACACGAAGACAUAUUUUCGUUUAUUUCAUUUCUACAGCAAUUAUUCGCUUCUUUUUUAAGAAAAACUUUUAACCGAAGGAAGUACGAUAAAAUCGAGAUUGCAUAACAUGCAGGAGCGCUUUAAAAUAUUUACUUUAUCAUUUUACAAACGCAUACAUGCAGACACACACACACGUAUAAGGACGCUCUAAUCAUUCUCUCUCUUUCUCCCCAUUUUCUUUUAAUUCUUUUCUUUACUUCUUUUUUCCGACUUAUAAAAAUAUAUUGGACGGAAGCCGCGACAUGAUUCUUUAUACUUUUUAAGAAAAGAAUAAAGUCGUUGUUAGGUACAGCGAUCGGUAUUUGAGCGAGGGUCUCUGUCCUCCCGUCGGAGAUCAUCCGUAAAUAAAAGAAAUAAACUCGUGUGAAACUUGAGCAAAAAAAAACAAAAAAAUGAAGAAGAA